rnacentral:rRNA from 1 species
UGGGGAAUAUUGCGCAAUGGGCGAAAGCCUGACGCAGCGACGCCGCGUGAGGGAUGAAGGUCUUCGGAUCGUAAACCUCUGUCAGCAGGGAAGAAAGUUAUAUGUGCUAAUCAGCGUGUAAUUGACGGUACCUGCAAAGGAAGCACCGGCUAACUCCGUGCCAGCAGCCGCGGUAAUACGGAGGGUGCGAGCGUUAAUCGGAAUUACUGGGCGUAAAGCGCUCGUAGGUAGUAUAUCAAGUCAAGGGUGAAAUCCCCGCGCUCAACGUGGGAACUGCCUUUGAAACUGGUAGACUUGAGUGUGUGAGAGGAUAGUGGAAUUCCAGGUGUAGGAGUGAAAUCCGUAGAUAUCUGGAGGAACAUCAGUGGCGAAGGCGACUAUCUGGCACAUAACUGACACUGAGGAGCGAAGCGUGGGUAGCAAACAGGAUUAGAUACC